rnacentral:lncRNA from 1 species
UCAUAUUAUCACUGUGUUGGAUUCUGGACAGGUGUGGUUCAUGUGAUUUGGGGUGGGUGUUCUGAGUGGGGCUAAAACCCAGGCCCGAGUAUACACCUAGGAUUAGCAUGGUCUCACGUCUCCUCACAUGUUGGAUCAGCAUGUUGUUGCGACGUGACAUACCACAGCCGGUCGAGGUUCUUUUGAGAGAGCCCCUCCUUGUGGAGUAUCCACUAUGGUUGGGUUACCUCUUUUGAGCUGUUGACUUC